rnacentral:lncRNA from 1 species
UUGCAAGUCAUCAUUCCUGUCCUCACAACAAGAGGGCUGAAAAUUUGAAAAUCAACAAAUCUUCUUAGAUCCAUCAGAGCAUUGCAGUUACAAAUCACAAUGAAAUGAAAAAUCAUUUUCAUGAGUUUUCCCUCCAAAAGACCCACCAGUUUAUCACAGUGAACAUCUGAGAAAAAUUCCCUCUUGCUUCCAGCAAAGACAGAGACAGUGCUCUGCAGGGAGUCUACCACUGUGAUGGUUAAUACUGAGUGUCAACUUGAUUGGAUUGAAGGAUGCAAAGUAUUGUUCCUGGGUGUGUCUGUGAGGGUGUUGCCAAAGGAGAUUAACAUUUGAGUCAGUGGGCUGGGAAAGGUAGACCCAGCCGUAAUCUAGGUGGGCACCAUCUAAUCAGCUGCCAGCACAGCUAGAAGAUAAAGUAGGCAGAAAAACAUGAAAACAUUAGACUGGCCUAGCCUCUGAGCCUACAUCUUUCUCCCAUGCUGGAUGCUCCCUGCCCUUGAACAUCAGACUCCAAGUUUUUCAGUUUUGGGACUGGGACUCACUAUCCUUGCUCCUCAGCUUGCAGACAGCCUAUUGUGGGACCUUAUGAUCAUGCAUUCUGCUGGACCAACAAACAACAGUGUAUUUUUUCAUCCCCCUGCUGUUUGACAAUAAGAUUUUCUUAGCCUUGUAACAAUUAACAACUCAAAAAUAUACAUCUUUGUAUAUGUCUCCUUGAACAAGAGUUUCUCCCUGAGAAGCUCCCAGAAGAAGAACUGUUGGGCUAUGGAGAAUAUGCAUUGUCAACCUUACUUGGUAGUUCCAACAUAGCUUUCCAAAGUGUUUAUACUUAUUUUCCGUCCCUGCAACCACGCCUUGGAGUUCUUGUUUUGUUUGCAUUAUCACCAACAGUGAAUAUUAUCAAACUUAAUAAAUUUGUAAAUAUAAAAUGUUUUGUCCUUGUUUUAAUUUACAUUUCCUAAGUACUAAAGAAGUUGGACAUCUUUACAUAUAUUUAUUGGCCAUUGUAUUAGUUCAUUUUCACACUGCUAAUAAAGACACACCUGAGCCUGAGUAAUUUAUAAAGAAAAAGAAAUUUAAUGGACUCAUAGUUCCACAUGGCUGGGGAGGUCUCACAAUCAUGGCAGAAGGUGAAUGAGGAGAAAGACAUGUCUUACAUGGCAGCAGACAAGAGAGAGCAUGUGAGGGGAACUGCUGUUUAUAAAAUCAUCAGAUUUCAUGAGACUUAUUCACUAUCAAGGGAACAGCAUGGGAAAAACCCGCCCCAUGAUUCAAUUACCUCCCACAGGCUCCCUCCCAUGACACAUGGGGAUUAUUAGAAUUCAAGGUGAGAUUUGGGUGGGGACACAAAGCCAAACCAUAUCAGCCAUCUAUCUUCCUCUGUCAGUUUACCAUUAUAUAUUUUAACAAUAUUUAUAUCUGAUAUUAUUGAUUUCUAAGAGCAUUUUAUAUAUUCUGCGUAUUAAUAUUUCAUUGGUAAUAUGAGUUGCAAGUGUCUUUUCUCAGUCUAUGACUUUUAUUUUCAUCUCUGUCCCCUUUUAUACAGAAGUUUUAUGUUUCAGUGUAUCAGAAUGUAUUAAUUUUUCCUUUCGUGCUUUCUCUAAGAAUUAUAUCUUAGGAGUAAGUUCAAGAGAGCUAUUGUACAAUAUGGUUGUAUAGUUAAUAACAUUUUGAAAAUCACUGACUAGAUUGUUUUUACCACAAAAAAUGAUAAGUACAUGAUGUAAUGUAUGUGUUAAUUAGCUCAAAUGAGCCAUUCCACAAUGUAUACGUAUUUCAAAACAAUGUUGUACACAAUAAGUAUAUAAAUAUAUGCAAUUUCUAUUGGUCAAUUAAAAAUAUAUUUUACUAAAGGCAUAAAAAUAUUCUCCCAUUUUUUGGUUGAAAGUUUUAGAGCUUUGCUGAUCACAUUUAGGUCUUUAAGCUAUCUGGAAUGUAUUUUUGUGAAUGAUGUGAUAUAGCAAUCUCAUUUUAUCUUGUACUAUAUAAUGGCCAAGUUCCUCAGCAUCAUUUAUUGAUGAUUUUAUCCCCUUUCUCAUAUAAAAAACUCCCAA